rnacentral:rRNA from 1 species
CCUACGGGAGGCAGCAGUGGGGAAUAUUGCACAAUGGGCGCAAGCCUGAUGCAGCCAUGCCGCGUGUGUGAAGAAGGCCUUCGGGUUGUAAAGCACUUUCAGCGGGGAGGAAGGCGGUGAGGUUAAUAACCUCAUCGAUUGACGUUACCCGCAGAAGAAGCACCGGCUAACUCCGUGCCAGCAGCCGCGGUAAUACGGAGGGUGCAAGCGUUAAUCGGAAUUACUGGGCGUAAAGCGCACGCAGGCGGUCUGUCAAGUCGGAUGUGAAAUCCCCGGGCUCAACCUGGGAACUGCAUUCGAAACUGGCAGGCUAGAGUCUUGUAGAGGGGGGUAGAAUUCCAGGUGUAGCGGUGAAAUGCGUAGAUAUCUGGAGGAAUACCGGUGGCGAAGGCGGCCCCCUGGACAAAGACUGACGCUCAGGUGCGAAAGCGUGGGGAGCGAACAGGAUUAGAUGCCCGUGUAGUC